rnacentral:rRNA from 1 species
CCUACGGGAGGCAGCAGUGAGGAAUAUUGGUCAAUGGCCGGAAGGCUGAACCAGCCACGUCGCGUGAGUGACGACUGCUCUAUGGGUUGUCAACCUCUUUUAUAAGGGAAGAAUAAAUGCUACGUGUAGCAUGAUGCCUGUACCUUCUGCAUACGCAUCGGCUAACUCCGUGCCAGCAGCCGCGGUAAUACGGAGGAUCCGAGCGUUAUCCUGAUUUAUUGGUGUUAAAGGGAGCGUAGAUGGGGUGUUAAGGCAGUUGUGAAAGUGUGGGGCUCAACCGUAAAAUUGCAAGUGAUACUGGCAGUCUUGAGUGCAGUAGAGGUAGGCGGAAUUCGUGGUGUAGCGGUGAAAUGCUUAGAUAUCACGAAGAACUCCGAUUGCGAAGGCAGCCUACUGGACUGCCACUGACGUUGAGGCUCGAAAGUGUGGGUAUCAAACAGGAUUAGAGACCCCAGUAGUC